rnacentral:rRNA from 1 species
GAUGAACGCUGACAGAAUGCUUAACACAUGCAAGUCGAUGGGGAAGUGGUGCUUGCACCAUGGCAACCAUGGCGGACGGGUGAGUAACGCGUAAGGGACUUACCUGCAGGACUGGGAUAACAGGGGGAAACUCCUGACAAGACCGGAUAAUGUCAUGGAGCUGCAUGGCUUUAUGAUGAAAGGAGACGCCUGCGGAGAGCCUUGCGUCCUAUUAGCUAGUUGGUGAGGUAAUGGCUCACCAAGGCGAAGAUAGGUAGCCGGCCUGAGGGGGUGGACGGCCACAAGGGGACUGAGAUACGGCGCUUACUCCUACGGGAGGCAGCAGUGGGGAAUAUUGGACAAUGGGGGCAACCCUGAUCCAGCAAUUCUGUGUGCACGAAGAAGGUUUUCGGAGUGUAAAGUGCUUUCAGCAGGGAAGAAGUAAGUGACGGUACCUGCAGAAGAAGCGACGGCUAAAUACGUG